GGGUUGUGAGGUUAAGCGACUAAGCGUACACGGUGGAUGCCCUGGCAGUCAGAGGCGAUGAAGGGCGUGCUAAUCUGCGAUAAGCGCCGGUAAGGUGAUAUGAACCGUUAUAACCGGCGAUACCCGAAUGGGGAAACCCAGUGUGAUUCGUCACACUAUCAUUAACUGAAUCCAUAGGUUAAUGAGGCGAACCGGGGGAACUGAAACAUCUAAGUACCCCGAGGAAAAGAAAUCAACCGAGAUUCCCCCAGUAGCGGCGAGCGAACGGGGAGGAGCCCAGAGCCUGAAUCAGCAUGUGUGUUAGUGGAAGCGUCUGGAAAGGCGCGCGAUACAGGGUGACAGCCCCGUACACAAAAGCGCAUGUGCUGUGAGCUCGAUGAGUAGGGCGGGACACGUGGUAUCCUGUCUGAAUAUGGGGGGACCAUCCUCCAAGGCUAAAUACUCCUGACUGACCGAUAGUGAACCAGUACCGUGAGGGAAAGGCGAAAAGAACCCCGGCGAGGGGAGUGAAAAAGAACCUGAAACCGUGUACGUACAAGCAGUGGGAGCACAGGUUUACCUGUGUGACUGCGUACCUUUUGUAUAAUGGGUCAGCGACUUAUAUUCUGUAGCAAGGUUAACCGAAUAGGGGAGCCGGAGGGAAACCGAGUCUUAAUUGGGCGUUAAGUUGCAGGGUAUAGACCCGAAACCCGGUGAUCUAGCCAUGGGCAGGUUGAAGGUUGGGUAACACUAACUGGAGGACCGAACCGACUAAUGUUGAAAAAUUAGCGGAUGACCUGUGGCUGGGGGUGAAAGGCCAAUCAAACCGGGAGAUAGCUGGUUCUCCCCGAAAGCUAUUUAGGUAGCGCCUCGUGAAUUCAUCUCCGGGGGUAGAGCACUGUUUCGGCUAGGGGGCCAUCCCGGCUUACCAACCCGAUGCAAACUGCGAAUACCGGAGAAUGUUAUCACGGGAGACACACGGCGGGUGCUAACGUCCGUCGUGAAGAGGGAAACAACCCAGACCGCCAGCUAAGGUCCCAAAGUCAUGGUUAAGUGGGAAACGAUGUGGGAAGGCCCAGACAGCCAGGAUGUUGGCUUAGAAGCAGCCAUCAUUUAAAGAAAGCGUAAUAGCUCACUGGUCGAGUCGGCCUGCGCGGAAGAUGUAACGGGGCUAAACCAUGCACCGAAGCUGCGGCAGCGACACUGUGUGUUGUUGGGUAGGGGAGCGUUCUGUAAGCCUGUGAAGGUGUGUCGUGAGGCAUGCUGGAGGUAUCAGAAGUGCGAAUGCUGACAUAAGUAACGAUAAAGCGGGUGAAAAGCCCGCUCGCCGGAAGACCAAGGGUUCCUGUCCAACGUUAAUCGGGGCAGGGUGAGUCGACCCCUAAGGCGAGGCCGAAAGGCGUAGUCGAUGGGAAACGGGUUAAUAUUCCCGUACUUGGUGUUACUGCGAAGGGGGGACGGAGAAGGCUAUGUUGGCCGGGCGACGGUUGUCCCGGUUUAAGCGUGUAGGUGUGUGUUCCAGGUAAAUCCGGUUCACUUUAACACUGAGGCGUGACGACGAGGCACUACGGUGCUGAAGCAACAAAUGCCCUGCUUCCAGGAAAAGCCUCUAAGCAUCAGGUAACAUCAAAUCGUACCCCAAACCGACACAGGUGGUCAGGUAGAGAAUACCAAGGCGCUUGAGAGAACUCGGGUGAAGGAACUAGGCAAAAUGGUGCCGUAACUUCGGGAGAAGGCACGCUGACACGUAGGUGAAGUGAUUUACUCAUGGAGCUGAAGUCAGUCGAAGAUACCAGCUGGCUGCAACUGUUUAUUAAAAACACAGCACUGUGCAAACACGAAAGUGGACGUAUACGGUGUGACGCCUGCCCGGUGCCGGAAGGUUAAUUGAUGGGGUCAGCGCAAGCGAAGCUCCUGAUCGAAGCCCCGGUAAACGGCGGCCGUAACUAUAACGGUCCUAAGGUAGCGAAAUUCCUUGUCGGGUAAGUUCCGACCUGCACGAAUGGCGUAAUGAUGGCCAGGCUGUCUCCACCCGAGACUCAGUGAAAUUGAACUCGCUGUGAAGAUGCAGUGUACCCGCGGCAAGACGGAAAGACCCCGUGAACCUUUACUAUAGCUUGACACUGAACAUUGAGCCUUGAUGUGUAGGAUAGGUGGGAGGCUUUGAAGUGUGGACGCCAGUCUGCAUGGAGCCGACCUUGAAAUACCACCCUUUAAUGUUUGAUGUUCUAACGUGGACCCGUUACCCGGGUUGCGGACAGUGUCUGGUGGGUAGUUUGACUGGGGCGGUCUCCUCCUAAAGAGUAACGGAGGAGCACGAAGGUUGGCUAAUCCUGGUCGGACAUCAGGAGGUUAGUGCAAUGGCAUAAGCCAGCUUGACUGCGAGCGUGACGGCGCGAGCAGGUGCGAAAGCAGGUCAUAGUGAUCCGGUGGUUCUGAAUGGAAGGGCCAUCGCUCAACGGAUAAAAGGUACUCCGGGGAUAACAGGCUGAUACCGCCCAAGAGUUCAUAUCGACGGCGGUGUUUGGCACCUCGAUGUCGGCUCAUCACAUCCUGGGGCUGAAGUAGGUCCCAAGGGUAUGGCUGUUCGCCAUUUAAAGUGGUACGCGAGCUGGGUUUAGAACGUCGUGAGACAGUUCGGUCCCUAUCUGCCGUGGGCGCUGGAGAACUGAGGGGGGCUGCUCCUAGUACGAGAGGACCGGAGUGGACGCAUCACUGGUGUUCGGGUUGUCAUGCCAAUGGCACUGCCCGGUAGCUAAAUGCGGAAGAGAUAAGUGCUGAAAGCAUCUAAGCACGAAACUUGCCCCGAGAUGAGUUCUCCCUGAGACUUAAAGUCUCCUGAAGGAACGUUGAAGACGACGACGUUGAUAGGCCGGGUGUGUAAGCGCAGCGAUGCGUUGAGCUAACCGGUACUAAUGAACCGUGAGGCUUAACCUUACAACGCCGAAG
rnacentral:rRNA from 3 species